GAGGAAAAGAAACCAACAGGGAUUGCCCCAGUAACGGCGAGUGAAGCGGCAAAAGCUCAAAUUUGAAAUCCUGCGGGAAUUGUAAUUUGAAGGUUUCGUGGUCUGAGUCGGCCGCGCCCAAGUCCAUUGGAACAUGGCGCCUGGGAGGGUGAGAGCCCCGUAUGGCGCACGCCGACUCUUUGCACCGCGGCUCCGACGAGUCGAGUUGUUUGGGAAUGCAGCUCUAAGUGGGUGGUAAAUUCCAUCUAAAGCUAAAUAUUGGCGAGAGACCGAUAGCGAACAAGUACAGUGAUGGAAAGAUGAAAAGCACUUUGAAAAGAGAGUGAAACAGCACGUGAAAUUGUUGAAAGGGAAGGGCUUGCAAGCAGACACGGUUUUACCGGGCCAGCGUCGAAAAGGGGGGAGGAACAAGAACUCGAGAAUGUGGCGCGCACCUUCGGGCGCGCGUGUUAUAGCUCGUGUUGACGCCUCCAUCCCUUUUCGAGGCCUGCGAUUCUAGGACGCUGGCGUAAUGGUUGCAAGCCGCCCGUCUU
rnacentral:rRNA from 1 species